rnacentral:rRNA from 1 species
UUGGAUGGCCUUACUACCCUGCAUGGACCUAAUUUUAUCCCAUCUCAGAAGUUAAACAUGGUUAGUCCUUGUUUAGUACUUAGAUGGGAGAAAUACACCGUGGGAUUUACUGUGGAUCUUUUGAUGCCAUAUAUU